rnacentral:rRNA from 1 species
UACGAAGGGGGCUAGCGUUGCUCGGAAUCACUGGGCGUAAAGGGUGCGUAGGCGGGUUUUUAAGUCAGGGGUGAAAUCCUGGAGCUCAACUCCAGAACUGCCUUUGAUACUGAAGAUCUUGAGUCCGGGAGAGGUGAGUGGAACUGCGAGUGUAGAGGUGAAAUUCGUAGAUAUCGGGAGGAACACCAGUGGCGAAGGCGGCGAUCUGGGUCGAUACUGACGCUGAGGUGCGAAAGCGUGGGGAGCAAACAGG